rnacentral:tRNA from 1 species
AUAUAUAUAUAUAUAAUUAUAUAUAUAUAUAUUACUAUUAUUAAAAUAUUAAUAUAGA